CCAAGAGAUAGUCAGGGAUGGUACCAGCAAUGAAAUGUGACCUUGAACACAGUUAUCGUGUUCAUUACAGACACCCAGGGGUCUGAAGGGCUCUCUCAUCUUCUAGCUAUUAACCAGUCUAGAGACAUGGCUUCAAAUUGAGAAGGAGAAUCACUGCAUUUGGCUACAUAUUUACCUUUUUUUUUUCAAGCAUCAAUGAUUUCCUCAGCUUCCACAAUCAACUAGGAUGGAAUUUGAAAAUGUAGGUGACAUGAGACUUGCUGUCAUAAAACUGAGGUAUCAGAAGACAAGAGAGCCAUCUGUCAGAUCAUCAUCAUCAUCACAACAUCCAGAGGAAAGUAAAACCCCCACGGUGCUGACUGGCAUGAAGGAGGUUGUAUUUUAGGAGAAAAAUAGCCUGGCUGACACAAGAAGCUGGUCAUAAUGAUCUUCCUGAGAAUUUGUGGAGUUCUACCACGUAUGAAUACAACUAAGUGGGAAGACGGGAUGUGGUGCUGCCUGGGUUUCAAUCCCCCUGUUAAUCCCAUACUCCACUAACCAGUGUGAUGAACUGGAUUAGGGGAUGCAGUGUUUUACCCCCCAUGGCGAAACAGAUAGAUAGAUUUUUCUGGGUGAAAAAGAAGACACUAAUAACUGAAGUGUGUGAUGUUGUAAGUUAAAAUUCCCAUUUAAUUGCAAAAGUGGGAAGGUGCGUACUGAGAUCUACUGUAAGAUGCAAUUCAUCUUACAGAAGAGUUUUGAUGCUGAUGCUUCUUUUGGAAAUGAGAUUUAUUUCCAGGUGUGAUGGUGUACUCCUGUCAUUUCAGCAACUUGGAGGUUGAGGCAGGAGGAUCGCACGUUCCAGCUUGCCUGAGCAAUUAAGCUAGACCCCGUCUCAAGAUAAAAUAAAAGGGCUGGGAUGCAGCUCAGUGGUAGCAUGCCCUUGGGUUCAAUUCCCUCAAAUUAAUUAAGGACUGCCAGAACAAAAAUAAUUUUUAUGAAACAAAAAAUAAAAUGUUAUUAUUGGAAUAUCUUUCAAACAA